CCUACGGGGGGCUGCAGUGAGGAAUAUUGGUCAAUGGGCGAGAGCCUGAACCAGCCAAGUAGCGUGCGGGAUGAAGGCCCUUGUGGUCGUAAACCGCUUUUAUCAGUGAAUAAAGUGCACCACGUGUGGUGUCAUUGCAGGUAGCUGAAGAAAAAGGACCGGCUAAUUCCGUGCCAGCAGCCGCGGUAAUACGGAAGGUCCGGGCGUUAUCCGGAAUUAUUGGGUUUAAAGGGAGCGUAGGCUGGAGAUUAAGUGUGUUGUGAAAUGUAGACGCUCAACGUCUGACUUGCAGCGCAUACUGGUUUCCUUGAGUACGCACAACGUUGGCGGAAUUCGUCGUGUAGCGGUGAAAUGCUUAGAUAUGACGAAGAACUCCGAUUGCGAAGGCAGCUGACGGGAGCGCAACUGACGCUGAAGCUCGAAGGUGCGGGUAUCGAACA
rnacentral:rRNA from 1 species